CUCCAAACACACAGCCUGGGAAAAUCUCUUACAAGAGCUGCAGUGUCCCCUUCACACUGGGAAACGGGUGCUUAAAAAGACACUUGCUGUAAAAACCAUUGCACAAUCUUCCUGACUCACCGUAACUAAUCCAUGGGGGGGAGCUUGAACGCCACAGCAGAAGCCUGAAGCAAGAACGACUGGUGUCAGGCCCUGGGCAGACAAUCAGUUGGAGAGGGAGCCUGGACCCCAUACUGAGGCACUGUAUCAGUCUUUCUGCACAGUGUAAUUUAAUUACGCCCCAGGAAAGACAGCUCAGCCCUCCCUGCAUUGUGCUUAGUUGCCAUGGAAACCUCAAGCAGGGGACUAGACCGUUCGAUAAAGAAAAAUACAGCAGCAGAACCCUGAACCCGAGCUUGCUGUCAGUUUGAUUCAGAAAAGGACACAUUAAAACAUCUGUCUGCAGUGUAAUCUUUGUGAGGGCAGGCUCAGCAUUAACAAAGGAGGGGGCGUGACCAAGCAGAGGUUCUCUACAAUAGAGCUUGCUGAUUGGCUGAGGGUUCCUGGCAAUUUCCUCCUCACUGGAGCCUGUGAAUGAAAACGUGGGUGACAGAAUCGUGUUGGGAAACCAUCCUGCAGAUACUGCUGUUUAUAGAGGAUUAACUUAUCCCACGUGAACAUACCGAUUGCAACGGAGAAGCAGAUGGGACGCGUAUGCAGUGAUACUGAACAGAUGCUGCGAGUGAAGCACGGUUCCCCUGUGCAUGUACUGCACACAUGGUGUGACCUUCACGGCCUACACAUUGAGAAAGCCUUGGGAAGACGUCACACAGGCCAGAGUUUAAUGAAGAACCUGCUAGCUGCAGACUCGGCCUAGUUCUUCACGCCAUCCAGACUCCAUUUUGCUGCAGUGCGCCACUCUCGACUGGGUUUGCACGCCUGAUUUGGCCUGACAUUACAAUAACAUUUCAAACAGAGAUCCAACUAUUAUGAAGUGAGUAUUGCUGUUAGAUAUGAGGAACAAGUGGAGCGUUCUAGUUAAACUGCUGCUCAGGACUGUGUGCAUGCUGCUGUCGACGGCUGCUCUCCUUGCCUUAUUGCUAGAACACAUACAGGAUACAUAAGUAACAUUUCAAACAGAGAUCCAACUAUUAUGAAGUGAGUAUUGCUGUUAGAUAUGAGGAACAAGUGGAGCGUUCUAGUUAAACUGCUGCUCAGGACUGUGUGCAUGCUGCUGUCGACGGCUGCUCUCCUUGCCUUAUUACUAGAACACAUACAGGAUACAUAAGUAAGUACGGUGGUUGCUAUGUAUCAAAACACACCAGCGUAUGAUAAAACUGAACCCAAAAAUAGACAAAUCUUGUUCUAGUAAAUCAGUCCGAGACAUUUUAACAGUUCACUGCGUGUACAGGUCUUUUAAUAUUGAAUAUGCUUAUGAUGUUCCAUAACUAGAAAGAAACAACUUCAGCAGACUCCGUAGUCGUUACAUUAGCGCCUAUUGGAGUAAAAAAAAAAGAAAAGUCUUUAUUAAUAGAUAUAUUGGGCUACAUUCACAAAAACAUUUAACACUUCAUUUUGGACUGGUACUGCUGUCUGAGAAACUCAGUGUCUUGGUUUCCUAUAGUCUUACCUCAAGUGUUUGAUGAUUCAGUUGAGGAGUGUUUUGUAGAAAUUCCUGAGGUUAGAAUUUAUUUUUAAACACCAGGCCCUCUUUAGGAUUAAGCAACUUGUCAACAAAUACAUGUGGUUACUGAAUUCUUGAGUUGCCCAAAUGAUAAAAUGUUGGGAAAACGCUCUCCACCAGAUUUAUGAUUGCUUGUUUAAAUAUGUAAGAGGCAAUGAUUACAGUUGGCAUUUGAAGAUACAGAGGGCUUUGUGUGUUGCAGAUCCAAUUUAUAGAUUUCAACAUCAAACAAAGAAAAACCUGGCAAGUGUUGAUAAUCCCUGUUUUUUCUUCUUCUGUGAAGCAUGCUGUUUUGCCACCAACAGUUUCAUAACUUCCCAGGCCAUCUUCACCUUUGACCCUUAGACCUUCCAUGCAACCCUGUACCACCAACUUAACCUACGUUUCCUCACACUGUGUCCCCUCCCCCAGUGUCCUGGUGAGAAAGUAAUGUUGUGUCUGUAUUCCCAGUCCACUGGCUGCCAGCGCUGUCUGACGGUGAGGGGGGUUGAUUGUGGAUUUGUGAUCAAUCAAUCAAUCUUUAAUUUAUAUAGCGCCUUUCAUAGUGGACAGCACAGCGCUAGCUCUGAGUAUAGGGUGUGGAAUACAGGGAGUAUUGCACUCCGCUUUCCGCCAUGGCAGUAUCGAAGCACAGGAUGGAGAUGUUAGUUUUCAGCAGUCUGUUUUGAUUUGAUGCACCUGAUGAACAUGUCCUCCAGCACUGAGCCACUUGGAAUACAGCAGUAAAUGAUAAAUGUGGUUUUCCUUACAUCUGCUAGGGACAGGGUUGCAGGGGGACAGGUUAAUGAUUACACCCUGGUGUGCCAGAUGUACUUGGAGGUUAUACAUGAUAUGGAGAGCUUUACUGAAGUGUACAGUAUAAGGUACAUAAGGACUAGAGCUGUUAGCUGCUCAUUUUUUCAAAAAUGGGUACGGUAGAAGCCAAGAUUAGUCACAGGGGGGGUUAUUGUUGUAGCCUGACUGUAUCCCAGUCUGCAGCUUAGACUGGCAAACUGCUGAUUGGUCUGUGCGGCUGAAAGUGAUGAGUGACAUUACCUAGGGCUUGACUCGCACAAUCCCUACAGUCAGUCCAAGAUUUCAGAACUUCCCUUGUGUUGGUCUAUUACUGAAGUGACCAGCUGCCAGGAGUUUGAGCAAUCAGACCCUUGGUAUAUGUGCUCCGAACUGAUCACACUAAUCACAAAUGAGGCGGACCUUAGGCUUACUAACAGGAGUUGUUCAUGCAGCAAACUCCUGGCUCCUGAUCAUUUCAAUAAUAUACUUAAUUGAUGGCGCUCUGAAACCGAAGGCUAGUGCUGGUUUCAAGCCAUGGUAACCCAGCCACUCCAUGCAGAUGGCAUUCCAUAGAGAUUCAGGUGCAUAGGGAGUCUCUUCUUCCUUAGGAGAAAUACAAGUGGAUGUGUGGACUGAAAAUGUCGGUGGCUGUCUGAGUAUGGCUAUUGUUACCCUUAUAAAAGCUUGCCACAGUAAAUUUGCACGGUACGUUUGCUUUUCCAAUUGUUAUGCUAUGCGUUUACAAUAAUUUACCAUUAUUUAUUUUAGUAUGCUUUACCAUACCUCUGUGGGCUUUACAGUGCUUACCAAAGCUUUACCAUGCUUUCACAAUGCUUUAUUACACUUUGCUGGGUUUUUACUAUGGUAAACAUUUCUGCGACUGUGAGACAUGUGUUAAACCCAAUCAACUGCAACGCACCUUAAAAUCUGCAUGCUUCCUGACCAUAAAAAAAUAUUUUAUCCUGCAAAGCAGACAGACAGUCUGUCUGUGUUUCUACCUCAAUUUGUUAACCCCCUCCACCUGCAACCUUAUUGGAAGGCCCCAGAUGAACGAAACACUGCCCCCGCUUGGCACGUCCAGGAAAUUACUAGACAGACUCAACGUGCAGCUGUCUGCAGUCCCCCCUCUGCAACUGCCUCAGCUGGAAAAAAAUGAGUGACGAUUUCCUUUUUUCUUCCUUUGUUUGCAGCAGGGUAGAGAAGAGAAGGGGGGGGGUGGAGCUUGGGGUGUGUCUGCUGCUGUAUUGUUUAAGCUCGCUGCAGUGCGUGAUUCAGGCGCAGAAGAAACGUUUAGCAUCCUCCUGCUGAAUACCUGAGCUGGCAUCAUGCAGAGUUAACCAGUCUUCUGACGGAGAGCUGCUUCUUACACAUACUAGCACAGUAUGUGGAGCCAUUGUGCCAAGAGACUAGAUUAAGAAACGCAGGUCUUUUUUUUCUUUCCAGUGCAGUGGAAUUCUGUGCUGCUAACCCCCUGCCCCCUCCCGUCGUACACAGCAGAGCGAGAUCUCAGGAGACGUAGCGAGGCUCGUGAUCAGAAUGCGGACAGUGUCUGGACCUCAGUCGCAGUGGCGUUGGGUGUGGAUGGGAGGGGGGUCGACACUGCUGCUUGCUGCCUCCCUACUGCUCCAGAAAGCAGCCGCUCUUCGCUUCUAAAAAGGCCUCCAUUACGACUCCUUGAUCAAGUCCUUUGUCUGGAGAAAGGUGGACAGAGGAAGAUCAGGGCUGUUCUUCUGCAGAGGGACAGUGGCUUCUCCAUUGAUGCUCGUUUUGUGUUUGAUAAAGUAUUUAGUAAGAUAAUGUUAUAGCAAUGUUAUAGCAAGUAAAAAAAAAAUAGAUUAAAAAUAUACUGCACUUACAUACUGUUGUUAAUACACAAGUUAUAUUCACUAGAUUUGUUUUCUAUUCACACAUAACCUUUAUGUAGUGUGCUGUCAAUUUCAUUGAAAAGGAAGAGAAUAUCGUGAAGUGAGGUACGCAGCCCAUUGUGAUGUCACCAUUUUGAAUUUGCAGUUGAAUGGAAAUUCCGAGAGGUGCCUCGGGUAGGAAUAUUUUGGACGUCAACCGUACGAAUACUGAGAAUGAAGCAAUGUAUGAAAAUAUGGAACAGUGUGAUGUCAUAAAUGGGGUUUCCUUGUGAAAAGUUCUCAGCCGUCUAUAAUUAUGCUGAAUCACAAGCGUGGGUGUCAUCUCAACUUAUCAGAUUCCUUGUUCGUCUAUUUUACCCUAUGGUAGGUGAUCGCUAAGCUAAAAUGGCUUUAGGAUCUUGAAAACAAGUUAAUAAGUGACACACACACACACACACACAAAACAUUAGUAGACUAGCGAUACAUCAACCUCAGCAUUAUUGACCUUAAUUUCCUUGCCUUUGGGAUGCUUAGCUAUUGCCCACUCAAUUAUCUAGCAAGAGAACACCAUGGCAUUUGGUGUUACUAUGGUUUUUUUACAGCUUGUGUCAUAACAGCAGUUAUAUAUUCUCCAGAGGACUUAUUUAUCAGAAUUCAUUCUAUUUAAAAACAGUCAAUAUUCAGGCUUUUUUUUUUUCAAGCAAGGAUAUCUUUGGAAGAUUCUCUGAAAUGUAAUUUCCAGGGAUCUUGUGUCCUCGUUUAGGGGAGUUGAAGGAUUUAAAAUAGGUAGAUUUUUCACGCUUUUUUACAGUGCAGACCUAUUCAGAGAGAUUUACUCGCGAGCAGUUGUUGCAAGAUUAGAACGAUUGUGCCUAACUGUAAAACACUGAAUAAGGGUACAUUUAGAAAUACUAAAAUAACCUUUGUAAAUGCAAUGACAAACAUUUCGACUGAAGUCUUUCUCAAUGAAGUUAAUAGUCUGUGUAGGGUGUCUUCUAUUGUUGUAAGAAAUGUCCUAACAUGUAGUUUAGGUUCUGGGCACUCAAACUGUGCCAAAUGAUUUCUGUUGUAACAAGAGACGACCUACACACAACGAUUAACCUGUUAAACAAAUCACAAAAGAUUGUA